UCACUGUUAGGAGUUGUUUGUGACUGGGUAUUGGGCAUUGGCAUAACAUACACCGAACAUCUUUUCACGUUUUGAUCCUUGGAGCAUUUGAUAACUCUGCAGCUUUGGUGGAAGUUAUUAUUUGGUAGCAGUGAAUAAUUUACCAACUCUCCCGAGUGACAAAGUGGCUGUCUAGCAGCCUGUAGCCUAGGCUGGGAAGGAGGGAUAAAUUUUUCUUUUGCAAUCCGCAUCUGAAGCCAGCUAUCUUGCAGGCAGUGCCGGUACGCAAGAACACUAGGAGAUCGUGGUGUAAUGGAAAUAUAUGUUGUUGCUACUAUAAUCAAGAAUUGGCUUCGCCCAGCAAAGUUUAGGAUUGAUGCAAGGAACAAGAGAAAAAUCAAGAAGGCAAUUUGGGAGAUGAAGAAGACCAGAAUUUAUUUUUUUUGUAAAUUGUACAUAUCUUUUUAUAUUUGUGUUUAAAUAAU